rnacentral:rRNA from 1 species
GAUGAACGCUGGCGGCGUGCUUAACACAUGCAAGUCGAGCGAGAAAAGUUCUUCGGAGCUUUUCUAGCGGCGGACGGGUGAGUAACACGUGGGCAACCUGCCUCAUAGAGGGGAAUAGCCUUCCGAAAGGAAGAUUAAUACCGCAUAACAUUGUUGAAAGGCAUCUUUUAACAAUCAAAGGAGCAAUCCGCUAUGAGAGGGGCCCGCGGCGCAUUAGCUAGUUGGUGAGGUAACGGCUCACCAAGGCGACGAUGCGUAGCCGACCUGAGAGGGUGAUCGGCCACAUUGGAACUGAGACACGGUCCAGACUCCUACGGGAGGCAGCAGUGGGGGAUAUUGCACAAUGGGGGAAACCCUGAUGCAGCAACGCCGCGUGAGUGAUGAAGGUCUUCGGAUUGUAAAGCUCUGUCUUUAGGGACGAUAAUGACGGUACCUAAGGAGGAAGCCACGGCUAACUACGUGCCAGCCGCCGCAGUAACAC